UUACGUACUUGGUCCGUUAAUAUCCGAACCUACGUAACAACAAAACAACUCCAAACCUAUCUACGUGUAACCCAUUUUUUUUAUUAAGAAAUAGAAAAAAACUCUUACACCCUCUCUGUGCCCUAGCAGAGCUCCAUUGUUGUCACCACUGCCAUUCCAAAUCGAAGAAGAAGAUCAGAGCACCUCCAUUCUGCAACAGAGACAUUUCUCCAAUUUAAUCAAGUCAUUGCUUCACUACCCGUAGCCCACCAUUGUUGUAUGCAUCUCGUUGUCUACUAUCUAUAGCCCACCAUCGUUACUCCACAGAGAACAGAGGGAUGGCCACUGUACAUAUUACUCUGUGUAUUAAUCAUAGGGGGAGAUUUGAGCGAGGUCCAUGUGGGAAGCUUGGAUAUGUUGGUGGGAAAGUAACAGAGAUUGAGAGGGUUAAUGUGGAUACUCUCAAUGGAUUUUUCAUAAAUGAUUUGCUAAGGGACAUUGGAUAUACAUCCAUUACUGAUUUUUAUUGACUAGAACCUGGUAAGGAGCUUGAUAAUGGGUUGAAAUUGUUAAGGGUUGAUAUGGACAUAGUUAAGUUGUAUGAGGCUGCUGUGAAGAAUGGUAACAGAAUUUACUUAUACA